UGUUGAAUGACGAUAAGAAUCAUUCGGAUUCCCACUGAUGUUGUUAAUGUAUGAUUUCACUACCAGCUACUUCUGACAACA
rfam:Cajanus cajan Scaffold134878_1, whole genome shotgun sequence.